rnacentral:rRNA from 1 species
GAUGAACGCUGGCGGCGUGCCUAAUACAUGCAAGUCGAGCGAACAGACGAGGAGCUUGCUCCUCUGACGUUAGCGGCGGACGGGUGAGUAACACGUGGAUAACCUACCUAUAAGACUGGGAUAACUUCGGGAAACCGGAGCUAAUACCGGAUAAUAUAUUGAACCGCAUGGUUCAAUAGUGAAAGACGGUUUUGCUGUCACUUAUAGAUGGAUCCGCGCCGCAUUAGCUAGUUGGUAAGGUAACGGCUUACCAAGGCGACGAUGCGUAGCCGACCUGAGAGGGUGAUCGGCCACACUGGAGCUGAGACACGGUCCAGACUCCUACGGGAGGCAGCAGUAGGGAAUCUUCCGCAAUGGGCGAAAGCCUGACGGAGCAACGCCGCGUGAGUGAUGAAGGUCUUCGGAUCGUAAAACUCUGUUAUUAGGGAAGAACAAAUGUGUAAGUAACUAUGCACGUCUUGACGGUGCCUAAUCAGAAAGCCACGGCUAACUACGUG